rnacentral:lncRNA from 1 species
GGAGCGAGAGGUGGCCCCACGCUAGGUCCAGGACUUUGGGCGGGGAGGAAGCUGGGUUGGCGGCGUCCGUGCGGGGGCGUCGGAGCGGGAGGGCCAGAGACCAAAUCAAGGGCCCGGAGGUAACUGUGAGUCCAGGGCUCUGGUGGGAGUUGGGUGAUCGCCUAGUCCCUUUGAUUGGACUGUGUCCGCUCUCCUGGAAACUUGAGACAGACCCCCACCGUGAUACAGGAAAGAGAAGCCCAGCCAGGGCUGGAGAGGUUGAAGAAGGAGCGAGAAGCUGAGAAGUGGGAGUCUGGCCAUCUGGGAGGGACUGGGAAUACUUUCCACCCUGAGCAACGCUUCCUGGCAACGUCUGCCCACAGAGGGCUUGCCUGGUGUCCUCCCUUCCUCAGCCAUAGAGUCCUUUCCAAGGUUAGUAAAUCCUCCCUCUGUUUGUCCAAGCCAUUCCUUGUGAUUUGUUUUGGUUGGGGGGGGGGGCGAGGGCUGAAGUUGUGUUGCUGGGAAAUGGUCAGAAAUUGUGUGUGGGGACAGAGGCAUGGUCAUUUCUGACAACAGACACUGACUGUCAAUCACAUGUGCAGGCUCACUACAUGUAAAGCAGCUGGCAUCUCCUUACAAGGACUCCUAGGCGACGUUACGACCCCUAAGUACAGAAGAGCAAAUAGGAUUCAGAGAACUUAUGUGAAUGCCUCAAGUUGGCACAGCUCUACAGUGGAACAACCAGGUCCCAACCUGGGGUAGGACAUUUCCAGGUUAUCCACACUAACUUCUCCAUUUUGGAAAGCCAGUGCAUGAUGACCCAAGAUCUUGCAUCUCUGUGGCAGGCCUCUGGGACCUAUCACAGAACUGUAGUAUUAAAACCUAAAGAUUGAGAAUUAGGGCAUGUGUCAGAUUUCCCUAAAAGCUAUGAGAGUACUGACACAGCAAUGCUGUGGUUUGACUCUCAAAUGUCCCCCCCCCCAAAAAAAAAAACCUAUGUGCUGAGGGCUUGUCAGCAAGCUGUGAGCUUUUAAGGGGUGAUUGGAUCUCAUGGGUUAGUCUGAUGGUGUAUUCACCACUGAAUGAGAUUCUGAGAGGUGGUGGAUACUGUUGAACAAAGGAUCCCAUUGGAGGAACUAGGUGUCAGAGGCAUGAGUUUGUGACCAUUCUUGUACCACCGCUCUCCUCUCUCCAUCUCUUGCCUGCCAGGAGGUGGACAACUUUCUUUGACACCUGCUUCCAGCAUGGUAUUCUGCCUCUCUAGGACCCAGGAACCUGGAACCAAAUGAUGAUGGACUGAAACCUUUGAAACUAUGAGCAAAAGGAACUCUUUUCUCCUUUAAGCUGUUUUUCUUAAAUAUGUUGCCACAGUGACCGAAAGCUGGUUAACAAGCAAGAUUUUUUUUUGUUGUUGGUACUAGAUAACUUUUUUUUUAUUAGUUCAAAUAAGAAACAAGCUUGCUUCACAUGUCAAU